rnacentral:misc_RNA from 1 species
UGCCUAUCCAUUUUCCCUGAUAAUAUUGAGUCACAGAUUUAGAAAGAACAUAACUGUUUAAAAAUAAAAUAAUGGAAUUUAUUAAAACCUUAUACACCGACUCAUUCAUAAAAGCAAAACACAGCCUAUAUAACAACGUAUAGACAGAAAGGAAAUUUUUCUCCUGAGCCUCCCUGGCCCUUCACUCCUCUCCUUCCAUCUAAAUUUGCCUCCCCAUUACUCCCUGCUAACACACUGAAUCUUCAUGAAUAUAGUAAAUAUACUUCAGAAUGCAUCUCAAAAAAGUAAUUAGACUUGAAAAUAAGAUUAACUGAAAUAGUUACAAUCCAUUUCAAUGCUUGGCCAGUUUUCAAGAUUAUUACAUAGAAUAUGUUCCCAGAUAUCAAGAAAAACUACAAAAUAAUCUGGUUAAAGAUCAUAAAGCUACUUUGUGCACUGAUGUCUCAAAAACUAGACAAAGAAACAUAUCAAAAUACAGUUGUAAUAUUCAUCACAAUCAUGAAAUUCUUAGCAACUUUAAAACAGAAAAG